rnacentral:rRNA from 1 species
CAGCCGCCGCGGUAAUACGUAGGUGGCGAGCGUUGUCCGGAUUUAUUGGGCGUAAAGGGAGUGUAGGCGGUCUUUUAAGUCUGAUGUGAAAGCCCACGGCUCAACCGUGGAGGGUCAUUGGAAACUGGGAGACUUGAGUGCAGAAGAGGAGAGCGGAAUUCCAUGUGUAGCGGUGAAAUGCGUAGAUAUAUGGAGGAACACCAGUGGCGAAGGCGGCUCUCUGGUCUGUAACUGACGCUGAGGCUCGAAAGCGUGGGGAGCAAACAGGAUUAGAUACCCGAGUAGUCCCUGUCUCUUAUAC